CUGCCCAACACCCAGUUCAUGCAAGCAUUGAAGAGAGUAGGAGCAAGAACACACCCCUGAUGAACCCCAGAAUUCAUUGGGUAGAACACAGAGGUUCUGCUUGCGUGGUGCACAGCACUCACAGUUCUGCUGCACAAGCCAGCCAUAACAUCUAGCAAAUUUGGGGGGAUUCUGCAAAGUCUCAUGAUGUCCCAGCAGACAACUAAGUCAAACAUUUUAUGAACUUUGACAAAGACUACAAGGAAACCCUGCCUUUACUUCUGUUUGUGCUUGAUGAGAACCCUCAGUGCUAGCAUGGGCUCAAUGAUAGACUUCUUAUGGUCAAUUCAUACUUCCAUGUGCGCAUGUAGCCCACAUUUUUAUGUCUAGCGGAAACCUUGCAUUGAUUGCGCAUGUGCAAGAUAAUAAACGAAGUAGAUCCAGUAGAUGGCAGCGCCAGAUUCACAGAUCUGCAUUUAACGAAGACAGAGAUCUGGUUGUUAUGGAUGCUUUCGAUGAGCAGCUAUGUGAGGAGGUGCAGAAAUACCCGCAUAUAUAAUACAUCUUUGAAGGAACACAAAGACGUCUUUAGUUGUUCUAAUUAAUGGGAAGUAAUUGCCAAAACAUUAGGCAAAGAACUGAAUUAGUGCAGGCAAAGAUGGAAAUAUCAGCGAGACUGAAUGCAAAACAAGAGAUGGUUGGAAGGAGUGGCAAGGAGGAUGGAAGCAAAGGAAGCCCAUCAAUCCUGACUUCGCUAAGCUGGCUUUCAGGUUUCAUCAAGCUCAAAGGGAUGGAUUCCAACUUGGAAAGUGAUGAGACAGAACAGCCCAUUAGUGAAGAGGUCAUGCUGACUUCAGAGUGCGUCACCCCCGGACCAUCUGACGCUGCUGUGGAGCAACGGCCAUAUUCAGGAAACCUGAGCCAGCCCCCCCGUAGACCCCACCAUCACCCAUGAUUGUACUACAAUCUAGGUUCUAGAAAGCGGAAGGAACCUUCAGCAUCAAUGACUGAACUAGUGUUAUCCCGCCUGCAGAAGCAUGACCAAGAGGAAGGAAGUGAUGACUUCUCCUUCAGACAAUAUGCACCCGGACACUUACUGUAAAAGACUGGGGCCCCCAGACCUAGAACGUGUGCAAAGCUGGGUCUUGCACAGGUGCUGUACAAGUGGGACAUGGGCUACCAACUAAAUCAGAAGUUAUAUACCCACAUACUGUAUAAAUCCAUGGGAAAAAAUUAAGAUACCACUCAAUAUUUUUAAAUAAAUCUGCCUUUUUAAAUCCUGGUUUAAUCAUGGUUCUGCUGGCAGAAGCCUACGCUGAGCGGCAGGAUGCUUCAAGGUUCAAAGUUUCUAACACAGCAGGACAGAAGAAUAAGGUGAAGCAGGAGACACUGGGAACGACCAGAAACUAGCCAGGUAAAAGGCAAAAGCGACUUUCUAAUGCCAGAGGUGACUGUUAACUUAUCCAAUAGUUUCUCGUGAAUUAUAGGAUGGUAUCAAGUGACCUUCAAAAGGAAUGGGAAACAUCAAGUGCAGGUGUGAAGUGCACUGGUAGGACAGUUUGUAUCAGGCUCCUAGAAACAGGAUUGAAGUCCCAUAAAGCAAAGAAGAAACCCUUCAUUAAUGAGGAACAGGGAAGAUCCAUGGUGCAGUUUGCAAAAAAUAUGUAUAUUAUUCACAGAUGGACACCCUAAAAUUGAAAAAUGAGUGAAACAAAAAAAUUGUGCUGUAAUAUAAAUUUUUUCCAGGGCUGUAUAUAUGUGUGUGUGUGUGUAUGCGCUUUUGCAAUGAAUAAAGACACAUAAACAUA